CCCAUUUAGUACCCCGAUUCAGUGCAAUCAUUAGAAACAUUAGCUUUCUUAUCCAUCGUGUACAUAUAACGUUACAUUAUAGGACACACUAGUCUCGAUAGCAGUAUUGAUAAGCUCGGACCUUAUUGAUUUUCGGGUUUUGAGAAAUUUUAGAACUGGGUCUCGAUCCCCAUCCCUACUUAGCACUAGCCAAACUGACGUUAGCAUGUUAGCCGUUAGUUAGCUCGCCAGUUAAAAAAGUUCACCAACUAGCCCCGAGUUGUCACCGACUGUUUGUACCAAACUCCAUUUAAUUUAGAGAACACGCUCACACUCUGGCAUUAGACGGUGUCAACAAUGAAUCACUGGGAUGGAGGAUAACAUUGAUAGGCUACGUAAUAAACAAGCUGGCAUGCGGUGCACCUGCUGUGGUGAAAAAGCAUCACAGGUGAAAAUAUCUAGAAAAAUUACGAGUUCUGUGUCUUUUCUGCAACUUUAUAAAACAUAACCUACUGCUUAUGGAGAAACCCAGGGGAACAGACAGGGGGUGACAGAGAGGCGGGGAAAGCCAGUGUGUCUGCAGUGAGAGACCAGAGGUAAAGGUGCAAAGAAUAUAAUUUCCACAACAAUUUGGCACCCCAGAUGGGACGGACGAGGGAUUUUGGACUCCGUUGAAGGACAGAAGCUGGCUUAUUUUUGGAAAAUCCUCCCUGCAGGGAGAAGCUGUGUUCAGCGGAGCCCUGAUCUCCGUUCCAGAAAGAAAAGGAAAAGAACUUACACGGUGAGAAAUGAGCAGAUAAUUUGUUAAAAAUUAAGGGAGUGAGAUUGAACAGAGUGAAGGAAGUGGUCUUAUAUCUCGCGCCUGAAUGAUUUGCAGGACCCCUCUGUCUGCUUGUAAACUGAAUGAGUAGGUGGAGAGUGGGACUGGUUUAGGGGCUCGGACAGACGUGUCCGGGUUUUCUCUGUGGUGUCUGGGGGUUUUUGGGGUUUCCAGCUGAUAAGUUAGGUUUGCAGCGCGUAGCCUCAGACUUAACCGAACUCAGUGGACCCAAAUAUUUCUAUGGACCAGACUACAGACUAGCUGGAGAGAGUAGACUAUGGCAAGUGUCAGAGUAAAGUGAGGACUGAGUCUGAAUCCACUCCCAGAUUACCUUCACCAGUUAUGAAAUUGAUGACUAAAAUAUUAGACAUUAAUGGAACAAUUUGAUAAGCUGGUUGAAAUGGGUUUCCUGCAAAAUGGAAGCUUUAGUCUAAAACUAUUGAACCAGCUAAAGACAUUUGGAGAGAAAGGAGAGCAGAAAUGCAAUAGAGCAUGCAGCCCUGUCCAGAGGAAAGAAAAGUAAACAAACUGCAAUUCAGAUGGGUAAGACAAGAACUGAGGACAAGGAAAGCUCAGAACUGAAAAUUAGAAUAGAUUCAUUAAGGAUCUGAUUAAACUGAUUAGCCCAUUGAUGACUGAUCAACUGAUUAUAUCUUCUUUAACCGAGGUACACAAGUCACGGAAUCCAUUCUGACUGAUCCAGUCCUGGACUCCGCUCCUCCGCUGCGAAAAGUCCAAUAAAGACACAUUGGCUCUCCCUCCAGAUUCCCAGAGAAAGAAAUGCCAGGAAAAAAUAGGACAUUGUUGAAGCCAUGGCUCAUGUGACCAGCGUGACUGAAACCUUCGACAGCUCCACAGACACAGCUGGAGCAAUUUGGAUAAGGUUGUCAAAGAAUAUGGGCCACAAUGACUGAGAUAAACACAGCGAUGAGAAAAUCAAAUCAAGCUGGACUUCUCAAGAUCAGCAUAAAGAUAAGAAUAAAAUGUUCCUUUCUUAAUUACCAUCAUUAUCAUCAUACGUCACUCUAGCCAGACAAGUAGGAAAGCAGUUUGAAGUAUGCUGAGUAAAAAUGACAAUGCACAGUCCAGAAUUACCAUUGGACUAAGUUCUGCUCGCAUGAUGCAGGCCAGCAGCUGGACAGCAAGACCGAAUCAUGUAGGACUCUCCUAGUCCACAUGACCAUUACCUUAGAACUACAGCGGUCUAAAACGAGACGCAAUGAGACCCUAAACGUUCUGAGUUUGAUUAGUCCAUAAACUGCUGCUGGAGUAAGGAAGAGUUGUACGUCACAGCACGUCACAUCAUUGAAGACAGACCGCACGAAAAAACAUGCUUAACAUACAGAUCAAGAUCAAAGAUCAACAUGAAGACAACUGUCAAAAGAAAAUGAUUGGUGCUGUAUCAAGCCAUCCUGGUAUGAAGAAAUUGACAGUUCAGAAGGAGAGGGCAAAGCAAAGGGCAAAAGUCGACAUUGGAAAAGAAAUGUUGCACAAUUUCUAAAACAGACCGGCAAGAAAAAGAAAAGAAAACAAAUAGACUGAGCUGGAGGGGGCAGGACGGACCCUAGUGACAGGAUCCAGCCAAAAACACACUGGCCACAGCUACUCUUCCUCACUUGGAGCAAAGGACGUGGGUACUCAUCAAGGGCCACAGGUUUUCCUUUAUUUGGUGGUGUCGGGGCCUUUUCCAAGGGCUAUGGAUUACUGGAACCGCAGUGAAAGUCAUGGGACAGGGGAUACCUGGGUCCACGCCAGCCACUGUAAGCCUAUCCCGGAGCCCUGCAACGACGUCGUGCCCUCCAUCCACAUCCCAACUCAACUGGCUCGAGCUGUGUGUUUUGGAUAGUGUACAUGAGCGCUGAGUUUCCUCGAGCUUCAUAAACAUUUUGGUGCUGAGUUCAUCGCUUUACAAAUGUUGAACCUAUGCAACCAAUUGAACUGCGAGCUUGAGAGAUGCAUGCCACAACUGAGCAGAGGCCCUGUAGAGAUCCUCAGGAUUUAUGACCUUCAGGAGGAUGGAGCCAUCUACUUUCAAUUGUCAUUUCUCAUCUGCAUUUAUUUUUAGAACAACUCCAUCCAUGAUUGGUCGCCAUACGGUCUACUGACAGUUGCAGAGACACAAACAGAGAGAGAUGUACUAUAGGCCUUCUCCACAAGCAGCUCACCUGCGGUUAUUACCACAGAAUCGUUCAGCAACCUGUUAGCCCGGGCGGAGGAGUACGAGGAUUCCCAGACCAAGCCUCCCAAGUCCCGCCGUAAGGCUCCGGCCUCCUCGCCUCGUUCAUGGAAAGGAGUGGCUCAUCCCACCAACAACGAGGAUGAGAGCGCCUCCACCUGCUCCUCUGUGUGAGGACAACCUGAAUCUGCGUCUUGUUCUUUGAUUGGUCCAUUUCAAAAUUACAACGGAAAAUUUGUCUGAUUUGUGAAACCAGGAAGCAGUUUUGUGUCUUCACCAAGAAGGAACCUCCCAGGCUUGAAAAGUGAAGCCUCCAGCCUGCAUUGGAUCGUAUAGAAGUCUAUGAGAAAAUGUGGCUACUUCUCAGCUGAUUUAUUACCUCAGUAAACACCUUCCUAAUGAGUUUAUGGUCUCAGUCGCUAGUUUCAAGUGUUCUUCAACACGGCAUGAUGUUCAUUUAGUAAAUUAUGGUCCCUAGGUGUGACCCAAAUAUGGAUAAUUAGUCUGUGUUCAGGACGGAGCUGAACAGCUCUUUUCUCUCAGCUGGACAGGUAGGCUGGAAUACAAAAUAAAAUACAGCUGCUUGUUACUUUCUAUAAAUUGAACUAAAAGAUGUUCUGUUAGCUUCCUGCUCAGCUUCCAGUCUGAAGGGGAGAUGUUUGUUAACCUGCCUCACUUCUCCCGCUGUUUGGGAACAGACUUUUGUUGGUCUGGAGAAGCUGAAGCAUUUAUUACCUGACACACCGACACCGUACUUUUACUGCCAGAAUAUUUGCUCCUCUGAGAUUCACCAUCACUUUCUGUCACUCGGACAGUCAAACACUCUGAGAUUAAAGGAGCUGCUCUGAUAACAGUAGCUGUCAGGUAGAUGUCCUGCAGUUUGUGAAGUUUGUGUUCUAGGUAUUACGUAAAUAAUUCUAAAUGGGUAUUUAUUUUCCAACGUCCAUGUAACGCUACCUCUAAUGCUCAUUAAAAUGCCCCCUCAGCACUCAAUGUUUUUUUCCUCCCAUGUUGGUGUAGUUCUUUCUGUUGCUAGUCCAAAUGGGUCCAAAUAUAAUUCGCUGUAUUAUGAUUACAAAGACUAACAGGCAGCUUUUGUGUUAUUGCCGCAAGUCUUUUUCGGAUUGUACCACAGAGAUAAGACUGAUUUAUUCUUCAGUUAUGGGGAAGUGCAACCUUAUCGGUUCUUGGAUGGAAAAACAGAUGUUAGGGCUUAAAACCAGUCUCUAGCAACGUAUUUGAAGUUUACUGUCGCUGCUUAAUGAAUGAGCGCCACUAUUAAAAUUUCACACGAUCAUUAAUGAUUAUCAGUAAGCAACAGUAACACUCAACGCAUGGCUGCCUCCCUCUCCUCAUUCUUCUAAUGAUGAGCGAAUGUGAGAGAGAGCAGCAGAAAGUGACGGUGGAAAAGAUCAGCAUUAAGUAGUCAGGUUAAAGUUCUGUCCUCUACUGUACAUCUUGAUAAUUAAAUUAAAAGAAAGCACGAUGUUGACCACGGAGAAGUUGAAGCAAAUUAGGGAUGCAAACUAACGUUAGUCCUUUUAAGCUAAUGAGGAAAUUAUUCUCUUGGAUUUUGAUGUACAAAUGAAAUGCUUGUAAUAAUAAAGAAGGGAUGUGGUUCUCAUGUUG